ensembl:lncRNA
GGAUUUUAACCACAGCAGCGACCUCUAAGUUUCCAGACUGCUUCCCAGAAUGGAUGUGUCCAGAGGAGAUAAGCAGGUUUCACAUGUGAGAGAAAACACUCAGUAGCUGAGUUUCUGAGUCUAGCUUACUUCGCUCAACAUAAUGGUCCCCGGUACCAUUUCCUGCUAAUGAUGGGACUUCCUUCUUCUUCAUAGCUCAGUACUACUCCGGUCUUACCAUGUAGUCCAAGCUGGCUUUGAAGUUGUGAUCCUCCUGCCUCAGCCUCCCAAGUGCUGGGAUUAUGCUGGAUUACAGGAGGGCGUGGAGUCCUGGAGACACCUGUGGUCAUUUCAGCUCCUUUCAGCGAGCCCCCCUGUGCCCAGCUGCCACCUGGACCUUAACGAGCGGAGCCAAGGAGGGAAACGGCCCGGAGCUGGGCCCCGGGAAAGGUGGCUGUAGUGUGAGGAGGGUGGCAAGAGUUUAUCGGGACAGCGAGUAGGCUGGACAGGUAAGGCCUCGAACACCAAGCUGAGGGCCCUGGACUUCCUGCUACGGCAGGAACUACCCAAGACUUGGAGCAGGAGAGUGACGGAAGGUGAACUAUGCUUUAAGAAAACUAAGAGGCCGGGCGUGGUGGCGCCGCACACCUGUGAUCCCCGCACCCUGGGUGGCUGAGGCAGGAGGAUCACAAGUUGGAGGCCAGUCUAGGCGACCCAGCAACUUCAUGAGACCCUAUCUCAAAAUCAGAGAUAAAAAAGGGCUGGGGAUGUAACGCUGUGAGAAGGAUGUGGGUUCAAUUCCAAGUACUAGAGGGAAAGAAAGGAAGAAAGUUUUAGUUUUGAUCCUCGUAAGUCAGAAGGUUCAGAGCGGGAGAGGUCAGAUCUAGCGGGCUGGAGAGUUCUGAAGCUUGGCUAGACGGAUGACCAAGGAAGCGUUUAAGGAAUCCAGCCCCGGACUCCCCUUUGAGGGUCUCUCAGGCAGAAGGUGGAGGGAGGCGAGAAUCUGUGUCCUUGGACUCGGCCGUCUCAGUCGUGGGGCUGUGACCAUGAAGAGGAGGGCAGGCCUGGCAUAGGGGCCCGGUGAGUCCCGCUCCCCUCUGCCUACUGUAGGGUCCCAGAGGGAGGAAGUACGAGGAAAACCAUCAAGCCGGGCCAGAAGAGCUGCUUUGAAACUGGUGUUCUCCCUGCAGAACACAGAAGAAAAUUCAGUAUGGGAGAAGAUGAUGACAGGAAUGUUCAGGACUUGAAGAGAAAUGACGGUCCCUGGCUGCUGCAUUUAAUUGGACAGGAGCACAGAGACUGAGACUGUAAUUAUGACGUCUUAAAUGUCAAACUCUUCAAAAGUCUGCUGUGCCCUCGCUGUCACCCUGAACAGCUCUGGGAACCAAAGCCUCGUACCCCCUCCCCUGCCCCUGAGCUCGUCCUGGGUCUCAGCCAGGCUUCACCUGGGAAAUCUGAGUGACAGCGACGCGCAGGCGGCUGGAAGACGCACAGUGAGCCAGGAGCCUGUGAUGAGCUCAGAAGAGGGUCUCACUAUAUGGUUCAGGCUGACCUUGAACUCACUGUGUAGCCCAGGUUGGCCUCAAACUCGUAACAAUCCUCCUGCCUUAGCCUCCCAAGUGCUGGGAUUACAGGCAUCCGCCACCACGGCAGGCUGGGAUCCGGUUUUCUUACCAGUAAAAUGGGGAUAAUAACAGAAGCUGCCUCACCAGGUCCGGGUGAAGAGUAAUAGAUGUAACAUGCAAGGUAGAAAUGUCUGGCACGUGGAGAGCUCGACAACAGGUCUCAGUAGAGGCCCCCUGGAUGUCACACCCGGGCACACAGUGAGGUGCCGUGAUGUGUCCUGAUACAACUGCCUCUGCUCCACCACGGUGAUCGCGCUGGGAGGCGGGAGAGAUCUGCAGCUACUGGGGUGGGGAGAACGAUUUGGAACGUGGUCUUCGUGAUGCUCCCCCAGGUUGACUGACGAAGAGGAGGAUGAAGCGUUGGGAGCCAUCCCGUCGGCAGAGUGCAUCUGGCCGGUCACAUAAGUCAGGAAGACUCGAUUCAGCCGACAAAUAUUCUGUGCACCUCCCUGGAAGUGCACUGUUGUGCAAGAAGUGGUUUGGCAGGGAUUCUCUCCUUUCAGCUGCAGGCCAUGGAGGGCAGGAGGCCUCUGCUUGCCAAGGAGGAGAGGCCAUAGGACGAAGGCUCCGUCUGGCCUGAGCUUCUGCAGAGUGUGCCCGAAUCCGGCUGCAGGGGCAGUUGGG